rnacentral:rRNA from 1 species
AUUGAACGCUGGCGGUAUGCUUAACACAUGCAAGUCGAACGGUAGCAGCUCUUCGGAGGCUGACGAGUGGCGGACGGGUGAGUAACGCGUAGGAAUCUGCCUGUUAGUGGGGGACAACUUAGGGAAACUUAAGCUAAUACCGCAUACGCCCUACGGGGGAAAGGAGGGGAUCUUCGGACCUUUCGCUAACAGAUGAGCCUGCGUAGGAUUAGCUAGUUGGUAGGGUAAAGGCCUACCAAGGCGACGAUCCUUAGCUGUUCUGAGAGGAAGAUCAGCCACACUGGGACUGAGACACGGCCCAGACUCCUACGGGAGGCAG